CGCUCGCCGGGCCGUUGUAGGUGGCGCCGGCGCCCUCGCCGGGCGCGGCGUCCCGCUCGCCCAGCUGACGCAGCAGCUUCUUCUGCUGCGCGAUCGAC
rnacentral:tRNA from 1 species